UCUCUCUUUCACACACAACGUUGUGGGGAGUCAGUUCAUAACCACACCACUAGACCAGAGACAUUCAAACAUGAACUUCAAAGGUGUGUAAAGGGUGUGAGAGUUGUACGUUUGUCAGUAAAUACGCCUCAUGUUGACCUCAACACCAGUCCUAUUCCAGAGAAAGUCUAUUCUAUGAUUUUUUGACUCAACCACAUAAUUCUCUGAAGGUUCUGUGUGGUUAUCGCCUAAUGACGGAAACUCAACCAUAACCACACCCCUCACACACGCACACAUUGAAAAGAGCUUGAACUUGAUUAAACCGCCUCUGUGAAGGAAAGGUCAUGGGACGUACGAAACGGUCCCAGGUGGUCAGGGAGAAAGCAUUGGAAACCCCCUACAGUACGAAAGCCAGAGUUUGCAGUAAGAAGAUGUGCAUUUACCUAAACAAAAUAAGUGUUGACCUUUUGGGGCUAGUCAGUGGUUCCAUUGAGCUUACAGGGGGUCGCGGAAAGGCUAAUACGGGCACAGCUUGUCAGGGAGAAAGCAUUGGAAAUCACCUAUAGUGGGAGAUAAAGUUGGCGGACGAUGGGGCCUUUUUACAUGUACGUCAACAAUGAACCUAAUGACGUUGAAUUCCGACGGGGGAAGCUGAUGUAAGGACGUAAACCGCGGCUCUUUUAGGUCAUGUUGGGGACGUUGCAUAAACGAUUCAAACAGAGGGAUCCCUUUUUCACGCCAAGGACCUGACUGAUCUGCACACUCUGUCAUGGGCACAGGGUAAUCUAGGUUGACCUAGAACUAAUUUGACCACAUCCUCAAUAAUGUUAAGUAGUCUGUCCACGAGAGAUUAGGGACAGGGUAGCCAGCCUACAGACUUCUUACCAUCAACAAAUCAUUGGCUUUGUGUGCCAUCACAACUGAGAGAUUUCCCUAUACAUUUCUGGUGAUUUUCGACAUGGCCAUAUUUCAUUCUAUGUACCCGUAUAGUAAAUAGUACAAGAAUACAAGAAUCAUUACCUGUUACUUGAUUGUAUAUUUUACCCAGCAUUGCUUUCUGGUAAGUACGUCUUGGACAAGUAAGGCUUGUUCCCGUGUCAGAACAGCCCAUACAGCAGGAGCCUACCGCCUGUUUCUGUAGCAUGAGACAGCCGGAUGUACAAGUACACCCUCUAAACAGGAUGCUUGCUUUCUGGUGCUUACCUACAAAUCCCCCCUGUGACCGUCUGAAUGUGGACGUUCAAUAUUGAAUGUGCCCUGAUCAGCAGUAAAGCAUCUGUGGCCACAGGGAAGAGCCAGACUACCAAAGCCUACCUCUCCAUUGUCUCUCACUCUGAACAAAACCAGCCAGGGCCUCUCCCCGCCCCCCAUGUGGAUGAGACCGGGCUGAAGCGAGAGCAGAGAGGGGCAGCGCCUGGCUGGAUGUAAGUUAGACGAUGAUGACUGAAGAGGAGACUACUUCCUGUGAUGUCAUCAUGACAGCUGUCAAAGAAGACUCACAUGAGAGGAUCAUGUCCAGACAAGACCAAGAGGAAAAGCUCACUAUUACAGACUGGUACAGUAUGUUUCUAUGCAUCCCCUCUAGUGUGUGACUCUCCAGCAGCAGGAGCUGAGGCUGUCUGAGGGCUCUUGUAGGCCUCCAGGCCAAGCCCAGUCCUUCCUGGCCCAGCAGAGGCAGUCCACCCAGGCCAGGAGCAGGAGAGGCAUGGUGCUCUCUCCCAAGCUACAGCCCAGAUAGGAGGGAGAGAUGGAGGGAGAGGUCCCUCUGUUGAGGGUGGUGGGAUUGACACUGGAUGGACAAGGAACGUUGGAAGAGGAUGUUGAUGGGAUUUUUGUGGCUGUUUAAAAAAACAUUGAAUGUUAAAAAAAAACUAUUUUAUGUAACAUUGGCGCCACCUGCUGGUCAAAUGGUAUUUGUGAUUUUUGCGCUUGGAAUAAAAUAUCAACAUGA